rnacentral:misc_RNA from 1 species
UCCGAGUUGACCCCGGCGGUCUCCUGUGUUUCCACACCGGUCACCAACAUGUCAAGCCCAGGUAAGGUUCUUCGCGUUGCGUCGAAUUAAACCACAUGCUCCGCUGCUUGUGCGGGCCCCCGUCAAUUCCUUUGAGUUUUAGCCUUGCGGCCGUACUCCCCAGGCGGGACACUUAAUGCGUUAGCUGCGGCACGGGAGGAGUCGACACCUCCCACACCUAGUGUCCAUCGUUUACGGCGUGGACUAC